AUGCAAUGAGCAUGGAAGAAAAGGAAAUACCUUUGAAUAGGUAGGAUUUAUAAGGCUGGUGAAAGUGAAAAGAAUUUGCAAAAGACACAACAAUUAGACAAAUACUUAGGUGUUAACACAUUUCAUAAGAUCAUAUAUGAAACUAAAAAGAGUGAGUGUGACUAAAUUAGUCAGUAUAUGAUAAGAGAAUUCAAAUUGUUAACAUAUUAAAAUAAAUAAAACAAAAGAAAACAUGGUUGAAUUGAUAAGAAAGUAAUAGAGAUACAACUAUACGUGUGCUUCGAC
rnacentral:lncRNA from 1 species